rnacentral:rRNA from 1 species
UACGUAUGGUGCAAGCGUUAUCCGGAUUUACUGGGUGUAAAGGGAGCGUAGGCGGCGCGUUAAGUCUGAUGUGAAAACCCGAGGCUCAACCACGGGAGUGCAUUGGAAACUGGCGGGCUGGAGUGCCGGAGAGGUAAGCGGAAUUCCUAGUGUAGCGGUGAAAUGCGUAGAUAUUAGGAGGAACACCAGUGGCGAAGGCGGCUUACUGGACGGCAACUGACGCUGAGGCUCGAAAGCGUGGGGAGCAAGCAGG